rnacentral:rRNA from 1 species
CUACGGGAGGCAGCAGUAGGGAAUCUUCCGCAAUGGACGAAAGUCUGACGGAGCAACGCCGCGUGAGUGAUGAAGGUUUUCGGAUCGUAAAGCUCUGUUGUUAGGGAAGAACAAGUGCCGUUCAAAUAGGGCGGCACCUUGACGGUACCUAACCAGAAAGCCACGGCUAACUACGUGCCAGCAGCCGCGGUAAUACGUAGGUGGCAAGCGUUGUCCGGAAUUAUUGGGCGUAAAGGGCUCGCAGGCGGUUUCUUAAGUCUGAUGUGAAAGCCCCCGGCUCAACCGGGGAGGGUCAUUGGAAACUGGGGAACUUGAGUGCAGAAGAGGAGAGUGGAAUUCCACGUGUAGCGGUGAAAUGCGUAGAGAUGUGGAGGAACACCAGUGGCGAAGGCGACUCUCUGGUCUGUAACUGACGCUGAGGAGCGAAAGCGUGGGGAGCGAACAGGAUUAGAUACCCUGGUAGUCCACGCCGUAAACGAUGAGUGCUAAGUGUUAGGGGGUUUCCGCCCCUUAGUGCUGCAGCUAACGCAUUAAGCACUC